GUCCACGCAGUAAACGAUGAAUACUAGCUGUAUGCGAUAUACUGUAUGUGGCAAAGCGAAAGCGUUAAGUAUUCCACCUGGGGAGUACGUUCGCAAGAAUGAAACUCAAAGGAAUUGACGGGGGCCCGCACAAGCGGAGGAACAUGUGGUUUAAUUCGAUGAUACGCGAGGAACCUUACCCGGGCUUGAAAUGCAGACGACCGACGAGGAAACUUGUCUUCCAGCAAUGGCGUCUGUGUAGGUGCUGCAUGGUUGUCGU
rnacentral:rRNA from 1 species